rnacentral:tRNA from 1 species
GGGGGGUUAGCUCAGCUGGGAGAGCACGUGCUUAACAUGCACGAGGUACUUGGUUCGAUUCCCAGUACUUCCA